GCCGCGUGCAGGACGAAGGCCUUCGGGUUGUAAACUGCUUUUGUACGGAACGAAACGGUCUCUUCUAAUACAAGGGGCUAAUGACGGUACCGUAAGAAUAAGCACCGGCUAACUACGUGCCAGCAGCCGCGGUAAUACGUAGGGUGCAAGCGUUAAUCGGAAUUACUGGGCGUAAAGCGUGCGCAGGCGGUUAUAUAAGACAGAUGUGAAAUCCCCGGGCUCAACCUGGGACCUGCAUUUGUGACUGUAUAGCUAGAGUACGGUAGAGGGGGAUGGAAUUCCGCGUGUAGCAGUGAAAUGCGUAGAUAUGCGGAGGAACACCGAUGGCGAAGGCAAUCCCCUGGACCUGUACUGACGCUCAUGCACGAAAGCGUGGGGAGCAAACAGGAUUAGAUACCCUGGUAGUCCACGCCCUAAACGAUGUCAACUGGUUGUUGGGUCUUCACUGACUCAGUAACGAAGCUAACGCGUGAAGUUGACCGCCUGGGGAGUACGGCCGCAAGGUUGAAACUCAAGGAAUUGACGGGGACCCGCACAAGCGGUGGAUGAUGUGGUUUAAUUCGAUGCAACGCGAAAAACCUUACCCACCUUUGACAUGUACGGAAUUCGCCAGAGAUGGCUUA
rnacentral:rRNA from 1 species